rnacentral:rRNA from 1 species
GCGGUGGAGCAUGUGGUUUAAUUCGAAGCAACGCGAAGAACCUUACCAGGUCUUGACAUCCCCUGACAACCCGAGAGAUCGGGCGUUCCCCCUUCGGGGGACAGGGUGACAGGUGGUGCAUGGUUGUCGUCAGCUCGUGUCGUGAGAUGUUGGGUUAAGUCCCGCAACGAGCGCAACCCCUAUCUCUAGUUGCCAGCGAUUCGGUCGGGGACUCUAGAGAUACUGCCCCGGUUAACGGGGAGGAAGGUGGGGAUGACGUCAAGUCCUCAUGGCCCUUAUGCCCAGGGCCACACACGUGCUACAAUGGACGGUACAAAGGGUAGCGAUGCCGCGAGGCGAAGCCAAUCCCAAAAAGCCGUCCUCAGUUCGGAUUGGAGUCUGCAACUCGACUCCAUGAAGCCGGAAUCGCUAGUAAUCGCGGAUCAGCAUGUCGCGGUGAAUACGUUCCCGGGUCUU